ACGGCGAGUGAAGCGGCAACAGCUCAAAUUUGAAAUCUGGCGCAAGCCCGAGUUGUAAUUUGUAGAGGAUGUUUCUGGCGACGUGCCUUCCGAGUUCCCUGGAACGGGACGCCAUAGAGGGUGAGAGCCCCGUACGGUUGGUUGCCUAGCCUCUGUGAAACUCCUUCGACGAGUCGAGUAGUUUGGGAAUGCUGCUCUAAAUGGGAGGUAUACGUCUUCUAAAGCUAAAUACCGGCCAGAGACCGAUAGCGCACAAGUAGAGUGAUCGAAAGAUGAAAAGCACUUUGAAAAGAGGGUUAAAUAGUACGUGAAAUUGUUGAAAGGGAAGCGUUUAUGACCAGACUUGCGCAGGUUGAUCAUCCGUCGUUCUCGGCGGUGCACUCUGCCUGCGCAGGCCAGCAUCAGUUCGCUUCGGGGGAUAAAGGCUUCGGGAAUGUAGCUCCCUCGGGAGUGUUAUAGACCGUUGCGUAAUACCCUGAAGCGGACUGAGGUUCGCGCUCUGCAAGGAUGCUGGCGUAAUGGUCAUCAGCGACCCGUCUUGAAACACGGACCAAGGAGUCGUCUUCGUAUGCGAGUGUUCGGGUGUCAAACCCCUACGCGUAAUGAAAGUGAACGUAGGAGAGAGCUUCGGCGCAUCUCCGACCGAUCCUGAUGUUCUCGGAUGGAUUUGAGUAAGAGCAUACGGGGCCGGACCCGAAAGAAGGUGAACUAUGCCUGUAUAGGGUGAAGCC
rnacentral:rRNA from 1 species